rnacentral:rRNA from 1 species
AGUGAGCGCUGGCGGUAGGCCUAACACAUGCAAGUCGAACGGCAGCACAGGAGAGCUUGCUCUCUGGGUGGCGAGUGGCGGACGGGUGAGGAAUACAUCGGAAUCUACUCUGUCGUGGGGGAUAACGUAGGGAAACUUACGCUAAUACCGCAUACGACCUACGGGUGAAAGCAGGGGAUCUUCGGACCUUGCGCGAUUGAAUGAGCCGAUGUCGGAUUAGCUAGUUGGCGGGGUAAAGGCCCACCAAGGCGACGAUCCGUAGCUGGUCUGAGAGGAUGAUCAGCCACACUGGAACUGAGACACGGUCCAGACUCCUACGGGAGGCAGCAGUGGGGAAUAUUGGACAAUGGGCGCAAGCCUGAUCCAGCCAUACCGCGUGGGUGAAGAAGGCCUUCGGGUUGUAAAGCCCUUUUGUUGGGAAAGAAGUCCGGCUGGCUAAUACCCGGUUGGGAUGACGGUACCCAAAGAAUAAGCACCGGCUAACUUCGUGCCAGCCGCCGCCGUAA